GACCACUCUGGUGGCCUAGUAGUUAGAGCAUCUGCUUUGGAUGCAGGAGGUCGUGGAUUCAAUCCCUGGCCGAGUCA